AAUUGGCUGUGACAUCUAUUACUCUACGAUUGCCAAGGUUGAUUUGGCUGAUCCAGCUGACUAGGUAGGUGUCGCCUU
rnacentral:sRNA from 1 species